UACGUAGGGGGCAAGCGUUGUCCGGAUUUAUUGGGCGUAAAGAGCGUGUAGGCGGCCUGAAAGGUCAGCUGUGAAAACUCGAGGCUCAACCUCGAGACGUCGGUUGAAACCAUCUGGCUAGAGUCCGGAAGAGGAGUGUGGAAUUCCCGGUGUAGCGGUGAAAUGCGCAGAUAUCAGGAGGAACACCAGCGGUGUAGACGGCUUUCUGGACCAUUGCUGACGCUGAGACACGAAAGCGUGGGUAGCAAACAGG
rnacentral:rRNA from 1 species